rnacentral:rRNA from 1 species
AGCGAACGCUGGCGGCGUGCCUAAUACAUGCAAGUCGAACGCGAAAGUCCUUCGGGAUGAGUAAAGUGGCGCACGGGUGAGUAAUGCAUGAGAACAUGCCCUUAGAUGGGGAAUAACGUUUGGAAACGAACGCUAAUACCGCAUAAUCUCGAGAGAGUAAAGGUGGCGCCGCAAGGGCUACCGUCUAAGGAUUGGCUCAUGUCCCAUUAGCUAGUUGGCGGGGUAAUGGCCCACCAAGGCAACGAUGGGUAUGUGGUCUGAGAGGAUGAUCACACACACUGGAACUGAGACACGGUCCAGACUCCUACGGGAGGCAGCAGUAGGGAAUAUUGCACAAUGGGGGAAACCCUGAUGCAGCAACGCCGCGUGAGUGAAGAAGGCCCUUGGGUCGUAAAGCUCUUUAGCGAGGGAAGAGGGUAGAUACGGUGAAUAAUCGUGUUUGCUGACGGUACCUCGAGAAUAAGCACCGGCUAAUUUCGUGCCAGCAGCCGCAGUAA